UCUCGAUCUCCUGGCCUCAUGAUCCGCCCGCCUCGGCCUUCCAAAGUGCUGGGAUUACAGGCGUGAGCCACUGCGCCCGGCCAAGCAGCACUAACUUUUUGCCAGAAGUUCUCAUCUACAGGAAUGGGGAGAUUUUUCUAUUCAAAAGGGUCCCCUCAAUAAAUCAAAAGAUGGUCAAGGAUAACGAUGAGCCGCUCUCAGAGAUAAAAUCCAGAGGAGAGCAGAUCAUUUUAAAAAGCGAUAAUAAAGAUGCUGACCAGAACCACAUGAGUCAGAAUCAUCAGAAUAUUCCACCAGCAAAUACAGAGAGAAGAUCAAAAUUCUGUACAAUACUAUAAAUAUAUAUUUAUGUUUUCACAGUCACCAAGUGUACUGUAAUUUAUACUUGAAAAAUGUUAUAACUUAUGAAGGAAAGUUUCUGAUAGUAGUCUUUUAAAGAUAUAAGUCAACAUGUUUUAUUCGGCUUCUAUCAGUGUGACCAGUUUUGAUAUUUAUUUAUGCUAAUAUUUUUAACAAGUUGUUUCAAAAUAUGUGUAUCUCAAAUUCUCCCUCAAGUGUUGUGGCCUUAACUGUUCAGUGUUGCAAUAAAAAUAUAUAUUUUUAUACAUUGAAAAUUGAAA